UUAGCUCUCUUUGCCUUUUGGCUUAGAUCAAGUGUAGUAUCUGUUCUUUUCAGUUUAAUCUCUGAAACGAGUCUACGGACUCAUUCAAGAUUAUUCUUAUUUUUGGCACCAGCCCCGAGGCCUCUGAGCUUGCUCAUGUCUCGGCGGCACAGUGUCCCUGGUAUUGCACUGCCUCCAGGUGACGCGACAUCCU
rnacentral:snRNA from 1 species